CAAAGAGUGUAUGGAAGGAACUAUGCCUCACCAAGCUCUGCUCUUGGUUCUAGCUAUCCUGCUGGCCUAAUGACCCCAGUGGGGGUUAGUUCAGGAGGUCCAAUGACCUGUCCACACUAUUUGCAACAUGGACAUACUGCAGAUAUUCUAUCACAGCUGUGACCCUUUACAGGACAUUGGCAUCAUUGUUAACACAUGGCUUCCCAUGUCACCAUCCUACAAGGGCAAUGUGAGAGUGUCACUUCUGCUUUAAUUGAUUAUGAAAAACCAGUGAGGUUGAAGAAUCUGGACAAUUUACCACUGGGUCAACAGGAUGUGCAUGUUGUUUUGGUGAUCCAAUACGGUUACCACAUUGCCUGCUUCGAUGUCACUUUCAUAAAAGAUAGGGGAGACAAAGGUUUAAUAUGAAUUAGAUUACAUGAGGGACGAGAGGAGAAUAAUAAAUCCAUUUGGCCAUAUUUGGUCAAUAGUUUUAGGAUAGUGUGGUGAAUGCCACUGAAAUAACGAACAAUGUACUGAGAUAUUAGCUGUGUUUGCAAUACUUUAGAUUUGUCAUUCUAUAAACAUAUAGGAUUUUUGGACACAGAUUAAGCCUAGUAUUAGAUUUGAAACUACUUUGAAUGAAGAAUCUCUCUUAAUCAUGCUUCUUCUUAGUCUAAAACUACGCUUAAUCUGUGUCUGGGAAACCGGCCCAUGUACAAAACGAAACCACGUACAAAACGAAACCAUUUGAAUAAAACUGACCUGCAUCAUAAUUCAAAUAAGAUGAAUUAGAAACCCAUGUUUUGUGAAAGUGAAUAAUGUCAGUCUAAAUACAGUUUGUUCAAGUAUAUAUUCUUGUAAAUUAGUUAUUUCUUAUUUGCUCUGCAGGUUCUCUGAUUCCCUUGCUACAUAUUUCAACAAACAAAUUAGGUUUCUUAACGUUCUUCUGACUACUGAUGAUUCCAAAAUUAAACUCUUACUUAAAAUAAACACUUCAAAAGCAAACAUGUCCUCUGACGGAGUAGGCAUACAUCAGCAGUUUCCAGUCUGGUCCACUAGAGGGCCCACUCUUUUCAGUGUGAGACAGUACACAUAGAUAAUUCUCCAUGCCAAACGUGAGAUGUUCCUUGUUGGUUUUAUUGUUGACAUAAUUUGUGAACCCAUUACUGUAUCCUGUUACAUGAAUGUCACUGUGUUAUUUAUCAAUAAAGGUGCUCUGUGGUCGAAUUGGACAGUGAUGCUAUUUUAGCUGGAUGUUGAUACAUUGUUGCUUUUGGUGAUUGUACAUGUGAAUUUGGAUACAUUGUUAUAGGCAAUACAAUAUUAUU